CUUUCCCCUUCCCCCUUCCCUCGGCUGGUUUCCCAGAAGACUUUGCAGCUGCUCCUUCUCUUCCGGCUCGGUCCCCGCGGUGGUGAAGCGUCGGUUUAAUCAUGGCCAAGUCCAAGAAUCACACCACUCACAACCAAUCUCGCAAAUGGCACAGAAAUGGUAUCAAGAAACCCAGAUCCCAGAGAUACGAAUCUCUGAAGGGGGUUGAUCCCAAGUUUCUGAGGAACAUGCGAUUUGCAAAGAAGCACAACAAGAAGGGACUGAAAAAAAUGCGGGCCAACAAUGCCAAGUAACCAGCUUGACUCUCUGCAAUGAAAGGACUGGCUUGUUUUGAACCUGAAAAGUAGUUUUUUCUAUUGGCAUUUGUUACGCUCAAAGCAUUUUUGUACAAAUAAAAUGAGAAGUAACAAAAUUCAA